rnacentral:rRNA from 1 species
CAGUAGCCGCGGUAAUACGUAGGUGGCAAGCGUUGUCCGGAAUUAUUGGGCGUAAGGGGCUCGCAGGCGGUUUCUUAAGUCUGAUGUGAAAGCCCCCGGCUCAACCGGGGAGGGUCAUUGGAAACUGGGAAACUUGAGUGCAGAAGAGGAGAGUGGAAUUCCACGUGUAGCGGUGAAAUGCGUAGAGAUGUGGAGGAACACCAGUGGCGAAGGCGACUCUCUGGUCUGUAACUGACGCUGAGGAGCGAAAGCGUGGGGAGCGAACAGGAUUAGAUACCCCAGAGUCCCUGUCUCUUAUACA